ensembl:misc_RNA Y_RNA Y RNA
GGUUGGUCUGAGUACAGUGGUGUUUACAACUAAUUGAUCACAACCAUUUACAGAUUCUUUUGUUCCUUCUCCAUUCUCACUACUUCACUAGACUGGCCUAAA